rnacentral:rRNA from 1 species
AGCUCCACUAGCGUAUGCUAAAGUUGUUGCAGUUAAAACGCUCGUAGUUGAAUGUUGGGGGGCGGGGUGAGGGUGUAACGAAAGUUGGUACUCUUGCACGCCCCUUUUUGGGGGAAUAAGAUUUAUCGUCUUAACCUCCCCGGGUUACUGUGAAGAAAUUAAAGUGUUCAAAGCAGGCGCACUCGCUUGAAUACAUCAGCAUGGAAUAACAAGGACCGAUGAUGGUUUUUUGUUGGUUACAUACCAUGGAAUCGACUGGUUAAUAGGAACAGUUGGGGGCAUUGGUAUUUGGCAGUCAGAGGUGAAAUUCUUGGAUUUGCCAAAGACCGACUAGGGCGAAAGCAUUUGCCAAGGAUGUUUUCA